rnacentral:lncRNA from 1 species
CAUGUGAUCCUUAAUUCGAACAGGAUCUGACAUACGCAAGUCAUAGAUUGAUACCUGCACUUCAGCCAUGUAAGAAUUAUUUGCACUACAAAUUACUCAGGAGAACUAUGUAGAUAAAAGACACAAUAUGUCAACAAUCUGACAACGGAAGAUGUCCAAGACAUGGAAAGGGACUAGAUCAUAUCUAGGAUACUAAGAACAAAUUCCAGCAGAAAUC